GUCCAGACUCCUACGGGAGGCAGCAGUGAGGAAUAUUGGUCAAUGGGCGGGAGCCUGAACCAGCCAAGCCGCGUGAGGGAAGAAGGUCCAGCGUAUCGUAGACCUCUUUUGUCAGGGAACAAAGGCGGGGACUAGUCCCCGGAUGAGGGUACCUGAAGAAAAAGCAUCGGCUAACUCCGUGCCAGCAGCCGCGGUAAUACGGAGGAUGCGAGCGUUCUCCGGAUUUAUUGGGUUUAAAGGGUGCGCAGGCGGGUUGUAAAGACGGGGGAAAAAGGCGGGGGCCCACCCCCGGCGAGCCGUUGAAACUGGCGGGCUGGAGUUGGAGAGAAGUACGCGGAAUGCGCGGUGUAGCGGUGAAAUGCUUAGAUAUCGCGCAGAACCCCGAUUGCGAAGGCAGCGUACCGGCUCCACACUGACGCUGAGGCACGAAAGCGUGGGUAUCGAACAGGAUUAGAUACCCUGGUAU
rnacentral:rRNA from 1 species